rnacentral:rRNA from 1 species
CCUACGGGAGGCAGCAGUGAGGAAUAUUGGUCAAUGGCCGGAAGGCUGAACCAGCCAUGCCGCGUGAAGGUCAGUGCCCUAUGGGCGUUAAACUUCUUUUGUGCGGGAGCAAUAAUGGUCACGUGUGGCCAGACGAGAGUACUGUACGACUAAGCAUCGGCUAACUCCGUGCCAGCAGCCGCGGUAAUACGGGGGAUGCAAGCGUUAUCCGGAUUUAUUGGGUUUAAAGGGUGCGUAGGCUGUGAGGUAAGUCAGCGGUGAAAUGCCCCCGCUCAACGGGGUGAAGUGCCAUUGAUACUGCCUGGCUGGAAUGCGGAUGCCGUGGGAGGAAUGUGUGGUGUAGCGGUGAAAUGCAUAGAUAUCACACAGAACACCGAUUGCGAAGGCAUCUCACGAAUCCGCGAUUGACGCUGAUGCACGAAAGCGUGGGUAUCAAACAGGAUUAGAUACCCUGGUAGUC